AGUUUGAUCCUGGCUCAGGACGAACGCUGGCGGCGUGCCUAACACAUGCAAGUCGAACGGGGUAGCAAUACCCAGUGGCGAACGGGUGCGUAACACGUGAGAAAUCUAACAUUCGGCGGGGGAUAGCCGGCCCAACGGCCGGGUAAUACCGCGUACGACCUUUGAGGGGCAUCCCUCGAUGGUGAAAGCCGCAAGGCGCCGAUGGAGAACUUCGCGGCCUAUCAGCUAGUUGGUGAGGUCAUGGCUCACCAAGGCGACGACGGGUAGCUGGUCCGAGAGGAUGACCAGCCACAUUGGGACUGAGACACGGUCCAGACUCCUACGGGAGGCAGCAGUGGGGAAUAUUGCGCAAUGGGCGAAAGCCUGACGCAGCAACGCCGCGUGAGUGAUGAAGGCCUUCGGGUCGUAAAGCUCUGUGGGGAGGGACGAACACGUCGCGAGCUAAUAUCUUGCGGCUCUGACGGUACCUCCUUAGCAAGCACCGGCUAACCCUGUGCCAGCAGCCGCGGUAAUAC
rnacentral:rRNA from 1 species